rnacentral:rRNA from 1 species
AUUGAACGCUGGCGGCAGGCUUAACACAUGCAAGUCGAGCGGAGAGAGGUAGCUUGCUACUGAUCUUAGCGGCGGACGGGUGAGUAAUGCUUAGGAAUCUGCCUAUUAGUGGGGGACAACAUUUCGAAAGGAAUGCUAAUACCGCAUACGUCCUACGGGAGAAAGCAGGGGAUCUUCGGACCUUGCGCUAAUAGAUGAGCCUAAGUCGGAUUAGCUAGUUGGUGGGGUAAAGGCCUACCAAGGCGACGAUCUGUAGCGGGUCUGAGAGGAUGAUCCGCCACACUGGGACUGAGACACGGCCCAGACUCCUACGGGAGGCAGCAGUGGGGAAUAUUGGACAAUGGGCGCAAGCCUGAUCCAGCCAUGCUGCGUGUGUGAAGAAGGCCUUAUGGUUGUAAGGCACUUUAAGCGAGGAGGAGGCUACUUUAGUUAAUACCUAGAGAUAGUGGACGUUACUCGCAGAAUAAGCACCGGCUAACUCUGUGCCAGCAGCCGCCGUAACAC